CUAUUGAUGACUAGAGCUGUUGGUCUCUAUUGAUGACUAGACCUGUUGGUCUCUAUUGAUGACUAGAGCUGUUGGUCUCUAUUGAUGACUAGACCUGCUAUGGCUGAAGGAUUCUGGUACACGUGUGUGAAGAGAUUUCUCCCACAGCAGAUGACUGGAAUGGAUCUUGAGCAGAUUGAGCCCAUUUUCAAUGACAUUUCAAAACUUGACUUUUUAAGGACGUUUAAUGAAAUCUCCAUGAUCUUUCACAAAUUCCAAGUACACAAAUCGGUGUUUUACAGCACACAUAUUGGGCCUAAUUACUGAAUACAAAUCAAACAACCUUUUGUCCUUGUUCUUUGCCUUUUCUAUGAGGCUCUGUCAACUAAAGUGGAAACACGCUGCGGAUAUUCACACAACACGUGGAAGAGGACAACAACAUAAUUAAUUAGUCAUUAGACUUGCAUACAACCAAACAAAAUUGUUUUUCCAAAACUUGGAAUUUUUCUGAAUUUCUUGACAUUUCCCAUUCUGGAAAAUGGGAUUUAAAAAUUCCAUGGCUUUUCUAGGUUUUCCAUGAAUCUGAGAAUCCUGUAGACUGAAUCUGGCCCAUAUAUGAUAUGACCUCAAAGUGGCGGAUCUCUGAGCUUAACGGCACUGACGCAUGCCAGCGAAGCAAAACCCUCGCUUCGCUUUAAGUGGGCGUGUUGUGGCGUGUGGAAAUGGUGUAACAGACCGACCGAACUAGCAAACUAGUUAGCAAGCUAGCCAGCUAAUAGGCUAGCUAUCCAGUCACUUGUCUUUAUAUCAGAACUGUCAUUCUGUUAAAGUAAGACCAGGAUUAAAUAUAUAACAUACCAGGAACAACCACAACCCCUUACAAGGUCUUCAAAGCUGUUCUUUUGAGCAAAUAAAACGACCAAACGACGCCAUAGUCCUGCAAUUUUCAAACCUUUAAAGACGACAACAAACUAUCUGAUUGGCCGGUGGUGGCGAAAUUUGCUCCUUAUUUGCAUAGGUUUAAACUUUCCCUAAAUAUUUUGCUCGCUUUACCCAAUUAAUUUAUCUGCCUGAUGAUCACCUGCCUCCAACAGAAAUGAAUGGAACACAGAACUUCACUUGGCUGGCGUUCAUCAGUACUGUAAGAGGUUCUCAGGUUAUAGAGCUGGCUGAGGGUGGGGCAGAGCUGCCAGAGAUGAAUUGGUUAUGGAAAGAGCUUAAGAUGGCUACAGUCAGGACACAUCCAGCUGUUCACUGAUUAUGUUACAGUUCACAUGUGCACGCGCACAUAUGAACACGCACUCAUAGAGAGUGCGAGAGAGAGAGGGAGAGAGAGAGAGAGAGAGAGAGAGAGGGAGAGAGAGAGAGAGAGAGAGAGAGAGAGAGAGAGAGAAAGAGAGAGUAAUGCAUCCACCCUUAGUCUUAUAGUCUCAUUACUGUAGCACACUUACAUUUUCCCUUAAGGCUCUUACAUCCCCUCACACACACACAAACACACACACACACACACACACACACACACACACACACACACACACACACACACACACACACACACACGGAUCUGAGGAAGAUCAGCUGAAAGGGG
ensembl:lncRNA